rnacentral:rRNA from 1 species
UACAGAGGGGGCGAGCGUUAUUCGGAAUUAUUGGGCGUAAAGGGCGCGUAGGCGGCUUGACAAGUCCAAGGUGAAAUCCCUCGGCUCAACCGAGGAGCUGCACCUGAUACUGGCGGGCUCGAGAACGGUAGGGGUGAGUGGAACUCCAGGUGGAGCGGUGAAAUGCGUAGAUAUCAAGAGGAACACCUGAGGUGAAGACGGGUUGCUGGGCUGAUACUGACGCUGAGGCGCGAAAGCUAGGGUAGCAAACGGG